AACGAACGCUGGCGGCAGGCUUAACACAUGCAAGUCGAGCGCCCCGCAAGGGGAGCGGCAGACGGGUGAGUAACGCGUGGGAAUCUACCUUUUGCUACGGAAUAACUCAGGGAAACUUGUGCUAAUACCGUAUGUGCCCUUCGGGGGAAAGAUUUAUCGGCAAAGGAUGAGCCCGCGUUGGAUUAGCUAGUUGGUGGGGUAAGGGCCUACCAAGGCGACGAUCCAUAGCUGGUCUGAGAGGAUGAUCAGCCACAUUGGGACUGAGACACGGCCCAAACUCCCACGGGAGGCAGCAGUGCGGAAUAUUGGACAAUGGGCGCAAGCCUGAUCAAGCCAGGCCGCGUGAGUGAUGAGGGACCUAGGGUUGUAAAGCUCUAUCACCGGUGAAGAUGAUGGCGGUAACCGGAGAAGAAGCCCCGGCUAACUGCGUGCCAGCCGCCGCGGUAA
rnacentral:rRNA from 1 species